rnacentral:sRNA from 1 species
UUACAUCAUCGGUUUACAUUUUGCUCAAC